ACGAACGCUGGCGGCGUGCUUAACACAUGCAAGUCGAGCGGUAAGGCCCUUUCGGGGGUACACGAGCGGCGAACGGGUGAGUAACACGUGGGUGACCUGCCCUCAGCUCUGGGAUAAGCCUGGGAAACUGGGUCUAAUACCGGAUAUGACUCCAUGACGCAUGUUGUGGGGUGGAAAGCCUUGUGCGGCUGAGGAUGGGCCCGCGGCCUAUCAGCUUGUUGGUGGGGUGANGGCCUACCAAGGCGACGACGGGUAGCCGGCCUGAGAGGGCGACCGGCCACACUGGGACUGAGACACGGCCCAGACUCCUACGGAGG
rnacentral:rRNA from 1 species